CCUACGGGGGACAGCAGUGGGGAAUUUUGGACAAUGGGGGCAACCCUGAUCCAGCCAUGCCGCGUGCGGGAAGAAGGCCUUCGGGUUGUAAACCGCUUUUGUCAGGGAAGAAAUCUUCCGAGCUAAUACCUUGGGAGGAUGACGGUACCUGAAGAAUAAGCACCGGCUAACUACGUGCCAGCAGCCGCGGUAAUACGUAGGGUGCAAGCGUUGAUCGGAAUUACUGCGGGCAGUUGUGCAACAGGGGUGUUAAAUGCCCGGGCUUAACCUGGGAACUGCACUUGUGACUGUACGGCUGGAGUACGGCAGAGGGGGAUGGAAUUCCGCGUGUAGCAGUGAAAUGCGUAGAUAUGCGGAGGAACACCGAUGGCGAAGGCAGUCCCCUGGGCCUGUACUGACGCUCAUGCACGAAAGCGUGGGGAGCAAACAGGAUUAGAUACCCGAGUAGUC
rnacentral:rRNA from 1 species